GUCGUAACAAGGUAGCCGUACUGAAGGUGCGGCUGGAUCACCUCCUU
rnacentral:rRNA from 1 species